rnacentral:lncRNA from 1 species
AAUACGUUCAAUUAUGAAAAUCGCUUUCGCUUUGAAAAGUGUAUUUAAAUUUACCCAAGAAUAACAUUCUCUUUAAGAAUUUGUACCUGAUUUUUGCAGAAAAAAUUUAAUCUUUUUGUGUGAUUCCAAAAAUAAUGAGGUAAAAUGCAGAAGAGAAAUCAAUCUAAGUCGGUAAAUUGACUGUCAAGAAAAUUAUAGCAAAAGUGAAUCCUCAGAAGUUUUUAAUUUUUUUUUGUCACAGGUCAACUAUCAUUCUCUGGUCUCCUGAAGUUUGGUAAAUUCGAAUCUUUGAAUUAUGAUCUGUUUGAGCUGGCCAUAUUUGUCAUGAUGGGUGUGGCAUAGGUGGUAUUCUUGGAGCUGUGUUCAAUUUGUUCAAUUACAAAUUGACUGUCUUUCGAAUCAGAUUGUUGAUUCAAUAAUAUAAGUAUUUAAUGCUGGUGGUUCACAUAAACUAAGUAUUGCGGAGCCUACGUUGUCGUGUCAGGCACCUGACCCAUUGCCAGCGAAUGCAACAAAAUUUAAUCGAUUCAAGGCACGUUCAGAAUUGCACAGUUAAAGAUUUGACGCCCUCUAUUGACUAUCUUUAGCUAAUCAUGAUUUUGAAUGGAGAAUGCCGAAGCUAAGAAUCUAACGGAAAGAGCACUCAGCACUCAGCACACUUGAAGACUAAAAUCCAGCGAAUCAGCUAAUCGAUGAAGGUGUGAAGGAUCCCCAGGGAGACGUGUCCAGGA